rnacentral:rRNA from 1 species
AUACGGAGGGCGCGUACGUUGCUCGGAAUCAUUGGGCGUAAAGCGCACGUAGGCGGCCUGAUAAGUCGGAUGUUAAAGCCCACGGCUCAAUCGUGGAAGUGCAUUCGAAACUGUCAGGCUUGAGUAUGGGAGAGGGUUGCGGAAUUCCCGGUGUAGAGGUGAAAUUCGUAGAUAUCGGGAGGAACACCAGCGGCGAAGGCGGCAGCCUGGACCAAUACUGACGCUGAGGUGCGAAAGCGUGGGGAGCAAACAGGAUUAGAUACCCCAGUAGUCC